AGUUUGAUCAUGGCUCAGGAUGAACGCUAGCGAUAGGCUUAACACAUGCAAGUCGAGGGGCAGCAUUAUUUUAGCUUGCUAAGAUAGAUGGCGACCGGCGCACGGGUGCGUAACGCGUAUGCAACCUGCCUGUAAUUAGGGAAUAACCCGGUGAAAGUCGGACUAAUACCCUAUAUUCUUCUUUCUCCGCAUGGAGGAGGACGGAAAGAUUUAUUGAUUACAGAUGGGCAUGCGUCCCAUUAGCUGGUUGGUAAGGUAACGGCUUACCAAGGCAACGAUGGGUAGGGGGACUGAGAGGUUGACCCCCCACACUGGUACUGAGACACGGACCAGACUCCUACGGGAGGCAGCAGUGAGGAAUAUUGGUCAAUGGGCGAGAGCCUGAACCAGCCAAGUCGCGUGAAGGACGACGGUUCUAUGGAUUGUAAACUUCUUUUGUAGAGGAAUAACGGCAGCUACGUGUAGCUGAGAUGCAUGUACUCUACGAAUAAGUAUCGGCUAACUCCGUGCCAGCAGCCGCGGUAA
rnacentral:rRNA from 1 species